AAGCUGUUUCGUCUGACGACAAACAGGGAUACAUAUGGAAGAAGGGGAAAGCAGCCAAGCGUGCUCGCAUGCCUUAUCACAGCAGCAGCAGCUCGGAAGAGGAUAAACUGGUAGACGUUCCUUGUGAUACCAAGGAAGGUCUUGAAGCGACUCGUGUAGAAAAUGGAGACACAAAGGUGGUGGCAAGGGCGAUCAUUAGCGAGUCCGAGUCGGAGAGGUCUCUUUCAGCUGACUACCUUGACGAACAGCAGAGACGAGAGCAGAAUCACACUCUUAUGAGCAAUAGCCUCGGCCACGGGGACUUUAGAAGUGCCUUGUUCUGGUAUUUCGAGGCUCUGAAAAGUAUCCUCGUUGUUGGACGUUUGUGCACAGUUUCUCAACUUGAGUACUAACUUUCGCUGAGACCUUGGCCGCCUGCAUUUACCCACGUCCGAAGUCUCUGCGGGACUCUUCUUCAGAGGUUCAUCGUCUUCACGUUCCUGAGUUUCUGUAAGAACUUUCCCGUUGCGUAGAAGCCUCUGGUUCUCGUUCUCUCCAGAUGUACCAGGUCUUUUGGCAUCCUCAGCGGCCAGGCGGCGUGCUCCGUCGUCUUCGUACUCAUGUAAGCUCGAAAACAUGGUCAAGGCAUUCCAAGCUGCCAUCCUCAUAGGCCUCAAUGCAUGGUCCGUGUUUGACUUUCUUAUCAGACCUCAAUAUCUGUGUUUCCUCUCUCCUUUAGUUUCCUCAUCGGCAUCAAAAGUGCAUUGUAUGACUCCUCCAAGCGCCAGCGCUUUUGCUUCCUGACCAAGGUCGCAAGUAUCUGUAAUGGAUUAUCAGAAACACAAAAACUUCACGUACAUACCUCUCUCCUUCUUUGGGUACGAACCACUUCAGAAUCUAAUUCGUCAUUUUCUUUGUCGGUUGUUUCUGAUUCACAGAUCGUACCACUUUCUUCAUUUCCAUCCUCGUCACUCAAGAAACUGGGAUAAAGAAGUCACCGGCUUGAGUGACGAGUCUGGUUCUGACUACUGCGCGAGCGAAGAAAGCUCUCCGCCGGUUGUUCUACCCAUCUGUUGCCUUGCUUGUUUGUUUGCUCAAUCGCUUGCAGAGAAGAAACUGAGGCUUAUCCUGAGGAAUGAAAGCUGGAUCAUCAAACGUUCCCACUGCGAGCUGAACUGAUGGUGGUUGCCAGUAGCAACCUAGGAGUCCCAGACGACGUUGCUGGUACGAGCUUUGAUAAGGUUCUGGAUAGGGAAUCAAGCCUGAAAAUGAAACAGAAAAAUAAGUUGGCCGAGGUAAGAAGUCACCAGCUUACUUGCAUCGCACAAGAGAUCUUGAAGAUUCCUUUGAUGAGGAGGCAACCGAGUUUCCUGUUAAAGAAAGACAUUCAGUUCGCACAAGAAUAAUACCGGACAGGAACAACACUCAGGACUAAAACUAAAUAAAAGCACUUACAUCAUUUUAUUUGACUGAUCGAGAACGUUUCCAUCCAAGAAAAAACUAGAAAAAACAAAAAUAAUAAAUAAUAAAUGCAAAAACAACAAGCUAUUGGAUGAAAGAUAAAAAGCAAAAUCUUCCUGAUACCUGAUCGUAUUACGCACCUUCGUCGUCUUGACUACCAACGAGGUUCCAUCCCUGAAAAUUAGCAAACGUGAAAUCCAGGAUAAAUGGAUAUGAGAGCAAGCAUACGGUGAAAAUUGUCAUCGACAAGAUUAUAAUCUCCAGUCUCAUAUGUUCUUACUGGAUGGCCCUGCCAAAUCUAAAACAAUCAAGUGAUAUUCGUCAUCAUUCUUUUGAGCGAACACACUUACAUCCCAGACAGUACCUCUGCCAUCGUAGCCCGGACUCAUUGCAAUAUGAGGAUUGCAUGGAUGUACAUCUGGCACGUAAGUCUCGGCAAUCUGCACAUCCGUGUUAUUCCAUGAGAGCCCCAUAAGAUGUCUUUACCUUGUCAUCCUUGAAAAAGUCGACGGAAGAAACUUUGAUUGGCUCUGCACAACCACUGGAACAAAGGACGAUUGAUGUCAACAAAGACGCGAACCUGAACUGCAUGUAGUUAACUUCUUGCGUCCCAAACCUGUUCAAACAAUUGCUAGAAAUAUAAACAGUCCACUUUUAAUGCUUACCCUGGCAAGCUUGUCCGAAUUCCCAGUGACGAAAUAUGAUCCAUCUGCAUUAAACGCACAGAACUGAAUCUGAUUCGUAGCCUGUGCUCCAUUCUCAGCUCCUGCAGCUGGAAACAAGCUUUUAGAAGACCAGAAAAACAUCGGCAGACUCUUUACAUUCGGGCUCGCCAUCCGGCUUCGGCAUGUAGACACGUGAAUUGACAGAGGUUCCGUCUUCAGGUCGGGGACUAAACUUGAUGGCCGUUACGUGGUCACGAAGUGUUGCAACCGGAACACCAUCUGGUAAUCCACUAAAGGCAGAAGCAAAACGAAUCAAAACAAAAAACAGGAGGAAUCGUCAGAAGCUGAUGCAACUAAAGUGGAGGUUCCUACUCUUUCGGGAUCAGGAGCAUUCUCGCUUUUGGAAUGUAAGCCUUGUCUUUUCGAAUAUUGCGGUUGCUGAUCCGAGCAAACUACUGGCAGCGAGCAAAGAAAUGCUACAAGUAUCUCUACGAAGCGAAUAGAACAAAUGCAUUGGCAAGCUGACCACAUGCUCUCGAACUUGGUGGUGGAUUUGCAAUGCAUCGCAAUAGAAAAUAGGCUUCGCCUUUGUAGCUGCGGAGGUUUGGACUAUGCAAGAACUUGGCUGGCUGGCUGGUUUCGAUUACUGUGCUUAAAAACCUGGCUUUUUUGUGGGAGGUAGCCGAUUUGUCUGUAAGUAGUUCGAACGCGGCGGUUAAUUGCUUGGACACUUUCGCAUCACGCGAACACGCAGUUGCUGCAAGAGCUUGUUGCCAACGUUCUUACACCUGCAAAUCAUCUUCUUGUCAACAUGGAAAACCAAUAAAGAGCUUCGCGACACACAGUACCUCGGCAACUUGCGCCUCGCUGAGUGGGAACGACAAACAUCGUCAUUUUCAUCAGCGGUGGGCGUCCCAUUCCUGGAGAAAAAUUCAAGGUACCUCCGGGGCAAGAACUUGUGCUGUAGGAACUCGUUCCAGGGCUGGCCAGUGGCUCUCUCGCAAGGGCCGCGACUCAGGAAAUGCAUGAUAAAGAAAUGGAGAUCACCUCGAUCUCCUCGUUCAGCUCUCUAUGUUUCAGGUCCAGUGAGUCUGCACGAGCCGUCAGCUAAGCUGCAUGAACCCGAGUCUACUUGAAGACAGAAAACUUGAAAGCUUUGAUUGAAUCGUGUUCCGUUAUCAUACAAAGCAAUUGAAGUGUACCCAGUGAAAUCCGGGUCUGCUGAAUAAACAGUUACACUGAUCCACCUACAAGGAAGUACUAUUAGACACUGCCAAGCCACGUCCAUGUCUAUGUUCUUGCCCGGAAAAGACUUACUAUCAGAAGCUCAAGACAUGAGUCAUUUUAUUUCGAGGAAACGAAGAUCCGAAUCAGAAGCUUUUUCCCUGUCGAAAAACAAAAUAGUUUUGUCGAACUUCCUAUGAAUCAACUACUGAUCACUGAACAUGGUCAGCAGCAGCAGCGCCACUUCUGUGCGGUUUGCACACCACUGGAUGAUCAAGCAAAUAAUUUCAAGAUUCGCACAAGCCAGAACUUCACAAAUGCUUACCGGAUUAGCUUGGCCCUGGGCUGCCUCAGCUCGCAGAGCAUUUCGCAGCAUCCUCAGUUCCUCCCUCAAGGCACCAAAAUCCUGUAUCACCUGCCUGAGGCUGGGAAGGUCCGCCUUGAGAACUCCACGGAGAGCCUGCAGAUCCUCCUUGAGAGCUCCACGGAGAGCCUGUAGAUCCUCCUUCGCUGCUCCCCUGGUUGAAGAAGCCAUGGUAAUGACGCUCUUGGGGAGGAGGUUGAUGAUGAGCAUGGUUGCAACGCAAGUUGCCGCAAUGACAACACAAGCACCCGCGACCGCCACAAUCACAACAUCCAUGGAAGCUGCGGAGACGACGAACCCUAGAUUUUACAUGGAGGGAAAAUUUGCUCACCCUAACCUCGGGCAGCCCUUCUCCGAAAUUUGCUGCAAUCCGGGAGCAAGAUCUGCGAGAGAGGUCCUGCCAGGAUUUUCUGCGCUGCCUUGGUACAAGCUCGUAUAGCUUGGACCUUUAAAGCCUCCCGCUCCCCUUCCAAGCGACGUGAUCGAUCUUCUGGCAGAAAAGCUCGGAGAACAGCGACAGAAGAGAAGCGCGAGGCCAAUCCACGUCGGGAGAAGCGGUCCCCGAUGGUUCCACUCGAUUUGGAGGCGGCGGCGAGGCUGCCUGGCUGCCCUGAUUUCGGCUUGGGCACCUCUGCAAGAUCAUCGCGCAUGACAUCCUCGUCGCCGUCAAUCUGUACCUCCUGUGGAGGCCUCGCCCUGGAGAAGAGCUCUUCUUUGUUGUCGGCACUGCCGGCUCCAGCACUGGCUCUGGCCGUGGCGGCUUGCUCCUCCAUUUCCAUGGCUUCCACCGUCUUACCUUUCCUCGCGCGGUGGCGCGGCGCGACGGCGUCUCCGGAGCUGGAUUGGCGGCAGGAAUCGAUGCUGCUCUUGUGCCACGGGCGUGGAUUCUUCCCAACGGCAGUGGGCCGGAGGCGCUGGAUAUCUUCCUCCGCGGGCGCAUUCUCGGGAAUCUUGAUCUUGUCCUGGUGAUUUCGCGAGGAGCUGUGGAUCUUGGCGCCGGCGUGGUGACUCCGCGAGGUUUUGUGGCCAGAGUAGGAGCAGCGGAUCGAUCCAGGACCAGGACAGGAUUUCGUCCUCUUGUUCCUGGCGGGGGAUUGCUGGUGCCAGGGGUGAUCGCCGUCGGCUUCCGGAUCGAAGGGGAGCUCACGUGGCCUCGACGACAAGAGAAGGAGGGGGAGGAAGAGGAGAAGGAUGGCACUCCAUCUCCUCACUCGAUCCUUGGCAGAUCUCCAAGCCCUGUUGGAGCUCCACAGGAAAGCAGCCACAUAAAACACGAAGGAGGAACAGCUGUGAUACCUUGGAUUCACAGUGAGUUUCUUUCUUCUCUAUUCCUUUAUUUGGCCUCUCCAAGCCCUGCAAAGUGGAGAAAGCGUUGCGUGCGUGGAGCAAAAACUAAAACCCAGCAGUGGUCAACCCUCGACUUGAAAACGAGAACCUCUGGCUCAGCUUCGAGAGCAAGAGCUCCGAUCCGAUCACUGUUUUUCUUGGUGUUACGUAUAAUCGCCAUUUUUCCAAAGAGGUCCUUUAAUUCCUUUAUUUGUUUGGCUCCAAGGGGAGUAUCAUGGGAGCUCUAGAAAGAAUUACAAGCUUUCAUACUUAAACCGACUCAAAGCUUUCCAGGUAUAAAAAGAUCCUCCCAACUCGGGACAAAAGGUGUGCUCGUGAAUGCUCGUAGUCACUGCGAAGUCUGUCAGCCGGCAAGUCAAUGCUGAAGCUGUUGCCGCGAAUCCUGUACACGUCCAUAAACUCGAGAGUGAGCCGGCCCAACACUCCGAGAAUGUACUCCAGUUAGGUGAUCUCGCAGAACGCUCGGAGUUCUCACCCUUCCAUCGUCGUCAAGCUAGUGUUGAUGUCCCUGCGAUCAGUUUCAAUUCAAACAUAAUUCAAGGCAAGCUCGUUGGAUCUCUUACCCCACUUACCCACCUUGCGCCUUGAUCAAGUAUUUUAAAAUCCGCACAAAAUCAAAAUUUAACAAAUGCUUACAUGAUAGAGGGAUGUGGAACACCAUAAUUUGGUUGUGGGUAUGUCCUCUUUCAGUGUGCCAUGAAGUGCCUGGAGGUCCUGCUUGAUUGCAGCAUGAAUUGCGGAAGUCAUGACUGCAGUAUAUGUAAGAUUAUAAACUUAAAUUUUAACAACAAACAAACUCAAAUCUUUGUGAUUGAUGGAUGAAUGAAGAAAACGCUAACAUAACCAUUAGCAUAUAGCUAUUACUCUCUAGUGUUUGUGUGAAUGAAUGAAUGAAUGAUAGGAUUGAAUGAAUGGAUUGAACGAAUGAAUGAAUGAUAGCAAAACUUGUUAACAAUAAUAGGAGGCGCAGGAAGGAAUUCAUUUGCGAAUUAUCCUUACCUGAAACUCUCUCCCUCCUCAUCCUCCUGCCGCACCGAGCAAACUAAAAAGCGCUCUUAGUUCAGUCCGGUAGAACGCAGGUCUCCAAAACCUGAUGUUGUAGGACUUUAAGCAUGUUAGCUACGUAAAGAUUACAAAAUUUUAAAUAUUUUAUUGUGGAAAGUCAAUAAGAUUCCAAAGUAGUAUAUUUAAGAUUUUGUAAUCCUAGUUUUAAUGUCAUUUGCCUGAAAAUCUGAGAGGACUUAACUCAUGUCGUCCGGGAAAUAAGUUUGAAAAUUUCCCACUAUAGUUCUCACUGAAAUGUUCAAACCCUAUUUCAAAUCAAGAUUCGUAUGUGUUUGAGAGCAGCACGUAACAAGACGAGUUCGUUUCAUCCAACUUCUGCACUUGUUGAGCAAUCUUUCGUUUGGUUAUUCCCAUGAGUGAGUCCAAGCAACGGGACUAGGAUGGAAGGGCAAGUUGUGAAUCAAAUCCUGAGCUUCAGCCAGCCUUCCUGCUCUUCCCAGAUGAUCGGCGAUGCAGAUGUAAUGCUCAGCCAUGGGAUCAACACCAUAGUCGUUUCUCAAGCUCACAACAUACGUCCACCCGUCUUUCAGCUCCCCACAGUGACAACAAGACGAAAGCACCGCGAUGAAGGUGAUUCCAUCCGGUUCAACUGCAUCCAAACCCAUCUCCUUGAAGAGAUCCAGAGCUAGCAGGCCAUGACCACUCUGUGCAUAUGCCGAUAUCAUCGCACUCUAAGACACCGUGCGUCUUUCAGGCAUCGCAUCGAAGAUCCGACGAGCCUCCUCCAAACUCCCGCACUUCCCAUACAUUGUCAGGAUCGACGUCGAAACCGGCUCCAACGCGCUGAAUCCGGCGGGGACGGCUUCGGGGUGGAUCAGCUUCCCGACUCUGUGCAACAGUCGACUCUGAGCAACGAGACCGUUGCACAGGCGUCGAAGAUCGUAACGAAGGUGAUCUCGUUGGGUUGCAAGCCUUCAAGAUCCAUCUUUCGAAACAACGCGAUGGCCUGCUGAUUAUGCCCGUUGUGCGAAUAUGCCGCAAUCGUAACGUUCCAGGAAACCACAUCUCUGCAAGGCAUCUGAUUCAAGACAUCCACAGCUUGAUCAACCAGUCCGUUCUGAGCAUAGGCUGUGACCAUUGAGUUCCAGGUCACGACAUCCCUCUCAGGCAUCUUUUCAAACAACACCCUUGCCUCACGUAAAUGACCGUUUUGCGCAUACGCUCUAACGAUCGUCGUCCACGAUACGACAUUCUUCUCCGGCAUCGCAUCAAACACCAUCCUCGCAAGUCCCAAAUCGCCCUCCGAAGCGUACGCAGCUACGAUCGUGUUCCUUUGCUGAGGCAUUCCGUCAAACAAAACCUUUGCUCGAGCGGUGUCGCCAUUUUGAGCAUACGCGGAGAUCAUCAGCGACCACGAAACCAGAUCUCUCCUCGGCAUCUCUUCGAACAAUGUCUCGGCCUCGCGAAAACGCUUCGUGUGAGCGUAACCAGAUAUCAUCACAUUCCAAGAGACGACGUCUUUCUCGGGCAUCAACUCGAAAACCUUCUUCGCUUCGUCUUAAUGUCCGUACUGACAAUACGCAGCCAGCAUGGCUGUCCAGACCAGAACAUUCCUCUCAGGCAUUCCUUCAAAAACCUUCCUCGAAUCCUCGACUUUGCCGUUGCGAGCGUACGCCGUGAGCAUCGCGCUCCAGGAAACGACGCUUCGAUACGGCAUCAGAUCGAAGAAAUCUUAUGAUGAGUCUAAAUCACCCAUCUGCCAGUAGGCAGUGAUCAUCGUCGUCCAGGAAGCCACAUCUUUAUUACCCAUGCUCUCGAACAAGCUUCUAGCAUGCAGCAGACGACCAUUCUGCGCAAACACUUCCAUCAUCACGUUCCAGGCGACUAUAUCACGACCAGGCAUCGAAUCAAACAGAUCCUCAGCCUCUUCAAGACCACCAGUUCUUCCGUAGGCUUCUAGCAUUAUCGUCCAGGAAACCACAUUCUUGAUCGGCAUCUUACCGAACAAAAUCCUCGCUUGCAGCAACUGACCAUUCUCUGUAUAUGCACGGAUCAUGAUGUUCCAAGUGAACGCUAUUUAACACUAUCAAACACGUCGCGAGCAUCAGGCAAACUCCCGCAUUUCCCGUACAUCUGAACGAGCAGAUUGCAGAGGACUGUGUUGGACGCAUGGAUCUCUCUGUGAAGUUGUUUCCCUCUGGCUAAGUCUCUGGUAAGAGCGCAGGAUUUCAGCAGCGAGACGUACAGAGCUGGGCUGAUGGUGGUGCUAGAAACGCACAUCUCUGUCAACUGAAUCAUCGAUCUUGUACAGCGCUAGCCUACAGCUUCUAUCUAAACUGGUUUUGCGACUUCCAUAUCAACAAUCCGGCUUGUUUCGUCGGUGCUCGUUUUCUUCUUCGGUUUCUUCAUGCCGCUCAUGUAGACGGACAAGUAGGCAAUGCUGAGCAGCAAAGUGACGAGUGUAAAAGCAGCACCCACAACACUCAUGCCUUGCAGAACAGUGCUGCAACCAGAUUCUUCAAACCUUUCCACUUGAUAACUACUGAGGCUGGCCGCCGUGUUCAAGAAGAGCUCAGCGAUCACCGGCCGUUACCACAAAAGUUGAUCUUUUAAAUAAAUGAUUUUUAUUUUUUUUUGCUGAAAAUACCAGGAAAGAGUGAGGAGGAUAAUUGCAGCAAUCUUGCAUCCGCGUCGAUGAAGCGACGAAGACCAGCAAGUGCAUUUUGUGGCGGCUGUGGCGGUGAUUUGGCCGAGAAGCAAACACACAGCAGCUCCGAUAGCUAAGCCGCUUGCUACCCCUCCUCUCUUGGGAGUGCAUCAGAUUCUGGUGUGAUCAGAUGAAAUCUCGUCUUGAAUGGUUUCCUACAGCCAGAAAACGUGAAUUCAAGGGCGAAGUGAAGGCGGCUUACAUGAUAACUUGUGGACGAAGAACCGACUGAAAGGCCGAACGCGAGGAGAUCCAACGCAAAUGUAAAUGCAGCAGCGGGAUAAAGAGAUAGCCUCAUUGAAACUCUUGCAACUGGGAAUGAAUCAAUUGAAGCAAAAGCAGAGUAAUGUAUAUGUAUUAUUUAACAUACAAUUAACAAAAUGUUUGCAAAAAACAUUAAUUCUAUGAAAAUAGUCAACUCUAUGUUUUGUUACAUUCCACUGAGGAAUGUUGUCACGAAGAGUGGCGGUCAAGCUAUGUUGCUAUCUUCCUCCUUGAGCGCAGUUUGCCGAGCGUAUGGGGAAUUCUAAUCGGUACAUAAUAUUCUUUUCCAUACAAAGAAUAUUUUUAAGUGUCAAGUUUAAGGAUUUUAUAAAAAUAUAAUUAUUAUUUUGUAUUUAUAUAUUUAUAAUUAUAUUUAUAUAUAUAUAACUAAAUAUAAACUAUAAUAUAAACAUAACUCUUCUUGAAGACUUGUUUCCACCAGUCAGUCCCCAUUACACAGUGACGUGAGCGAAUUUGUCUCUCGUAAACUUUGAACUCUUCAACUAUUUUCGCUGCUAUCUGCUAACAAACAAUAGUAUACCAUGGGAACUGGAAAUGUUCUGGCUCGUCAAGGAGUGUAGCAUGUGUUCAGGAUGUCCUUGUUCUUUGCAACCUUGGAGUAGGGGGAACCGAAAAUACACAUGGCAACGAUGCUUUCCUGAAAAAACGAACAUUAAAAAGUACCAAUUUCGAAAGGAUGAGUUACCUUUCCAGGAGUCCUAGCACAUCAGCGAUUUGUGUUGGCCGCUACUUAACUCAACACAGAGUUUGUUUUACCUCUUAGAGCCUCUGCUCUCGAGUCCUGCCGUGUCAGUGAGUCCCGCCACAUCAGCGUGUCCUGCCAUAUCAGCGAGUCCCACCACGUUAGCAAGUCCUGCCACAUCAACGAUUUGUGCUGGUCGCCACUUAACUCAGAAUAACCUUUCUAAAAAUACGGUAUCCCCAGGACCUUGCCGUGUGCGCGUAGUUUGUCUGCAGGAACUUCAGCUUGCAAGUUUCUGCAGUGUUAUUCAAAGCCGGCAAAUCAUCCGAUAGCACAAACACCACCAUGUAGCCAGCUCUGUCUAGUAUCCCGAAAGCAGUGUUCACCAAGUUCUUCAGUAAAGCAUCCGAGAACUCCGUAUACUGAUCAACCACCCCGGCUCAGCAACGCAUCUAGUAGGCGAAUCGAUGAUGAGAAGAUGAACAGCUCCCUGGACACAUUUCGGUAGAGACUUUGCACAAAAAAGUGAACAGUUCAGCUUUACCUGUGACUGACAAUCCAAUCCUCAAGCUCCUUCAGUCCUGGCGGAAAAGGUCUCCCAGCUUUGAAGUACUACUGGACUGCAAGGUUUCCUGAAUCUGCAUGAAUGAUUUCCCAACUCCCGUUUCCGUUCUCUGGCAUCAGCAUCCUCAACAUAUCACCUUCUUCCGAUCUGGAGACGGGGCUGAAGAAAAAGCCUGGCCCUUGCUGCCCUUGGUGGCCGAUCUUGCUGACUUGAUAUCCAUCUUCACCUGGAGCUUCCUCACAGCACUCUCGUUCUUCCACAAUAGCUCUCACCGAUAAUCCUUGUGUAUCUUGUAGCUGGCCAUCUCCCAUUCCGGACAGCCACCGGGAAGGAAAUCCAGCCAGAAAGAACAGUACUACACUUCAAAAUCGCUAAUGUCACACAUGAGCCUGCUCCACAUGUUGCAACAUCCAUCUACUCUUCGGAGUGCAUCAUUUUUCCAUUUGAAAAACCAUAAAUAGAUAAAUAUAAAUAAAGAAACCAAUUAAAGACUUGCCUGUCUUUUCGAACUCAAAUAACUGAGAAUGUAAAAUUGUCGCACUGAACUCCUUGUUCUCACGCAUGCUCUGGUACAUAUCUAGCUCGUGCAUCUUCAUAUACCAGGCCAUAAACUCGUCAACGUAACUGCUUGCCUGUUCGACCUGCAAGUGCCAUUCCCAUUAGCUUUUUUCACAACUUUCUAAGGAGGUCUAAGACCUCCCAACCAAGAGUUCCUUUGCAUUUGGUACUUCUUCACCCACCGAGGUCGCUCCUAUGAAGAUAGAUAACAAUUAAGUAAUAUAUCAACAAAGCAAAAGAGGACUUCAUCCACCUCUAUGCUAAGUCCCAUUACUCUUUCAAUGGCAACAAAUUUCAUUUUGUCAAUAUUUAAACUCUUAUUACACAAGUUCUAAUAAACCAGAUACCAGGCACAAUAGACUCAGCUUAAUUCGCAUUGCAAGGUUUCCUUUGUUCCUUUGGCACUAAGUGGUUAGUAGCGUCAGUGCUCUCCAUUCUCAAUAGGGUACUAAAACAACUGGUACUCCACCCACCACGUUCGCCCAUUAUGUCAACCGACAUUGCCAAAAGACAUACCAUCUUGUUUCUCCAAGUGAAAUUACACUCUUUGAUGAAAACCGCCUAAUAGAGUUUCAGCUGCCUUCAGUGACUUGCAUAUUCACUAGCGUUCGGUUAGUUAUUUCCCCCACAAGCCACUAAUCCUAGAUAAUCAAAAAACUCGGACAACCAGAUAUCCACAUCUCUCACAGGGACAAGUUUUAUCCAAACAUGAGGUGGUUUCACUCCACCAAGCCUUUUGGUUAUGCCUGCAUUUCAACGCUUCCACAAUUUAAUAACUUCAGUUCCAAAUCUGAGCAUUGUGGAGCUCAUACACUAAAGGUUAUCUGGUUCACCCAGAGCCUUUACGAGCCUACCAAUAACCAAGAAUUUCCAAAACCACAUUACAGGUUUUCAAGCUCUUCAAACUCUCUCUAUCGGUAAACUAGUUCUCCAGAGUUUCAGUUAGGUUCUCUAGUUAGCCAGGAAGAAAAACUCUUCCUACAGAUUAGCAUUCGUUUAGCUUACAACAACUUGUAGCCAGCAAGGAAUCCCAACAUGUUUUGAGUUGACAUCCCAUUUCGCAGUUCAUCUGUUUGAAAAUAAACUAAAGAAAAUUAAAACAGUCAACUAGUCUCUCUGAUACCAAAUGUCACGUGGACUCAUUUCUGGUACCACGUGUUGCGGCUGCCCUCUCAAGCAGCCUCGACUCGGAGCUUCUAUUUUACCAACUUUCGAGCUCAGAUUAUUAACCGCGCGCGACUUUAGGUUUAACACAUUUUAGAGGUUGGCGGCUAUGGCGGCUGAAGCGGUGAGGGAGCUGAAGAAAUCGCUCAACGACGACGAGGGUUUCUUUGAUAGGCACGAAGAGAUGACUGAUCUGCUCACACAUAUUGAGGGAGACCUCAACCGCAUCGCUAUAGUGAUGGGCCCCAACGAUUCAGGCAAGUCCGCUCUACUCAAGCAGCUCAGGAAGAUGUGGGAUGCCAGCCCUCUACUGAAAGCCCAGUUGCCGCUCUUCUACGUCGACAUGAGGGCUGCGAGUUCCCCGGAGGAGGCUGCUGCACAGAUUGCAAGACAGAUGCGAACUUGGGCUUCUUGGCUCAAAGAUGUGGCAGCAGCCCUUCUGAAGACGAUCGGAGGUGUUAGUGUCGAUCUGAAGAAGCUGAUGUUCAAGGGCGUAAACCUUGAUGCAUCAAGCUUUCUAGAGUUGUUAAAAGCGGAACCAGUGAAGGACUUGGGCUCUGUCAUGAGUUGGUUUAUGAGCCUGGCGGCUGAAAACCAGCAUAGAAGGCCAAUUUUUGUCAUCGAUGAAGCUCACAGAUUGAAGUGGUGGUCCAACCAGGAUGUACGCACCCUCCUGGGAUGUUUCACACCCAUGACCAAAAAAGACCAAACUGCUAUGGUGAUUAUGUCCACCUCCGACGACUUUUUUCGGCAGUAGUUUCAAAGUCACACAGACAUUAAGCAAUGGAGGUCAAUUGCUGUGGGGCACUUUGGUGAAAAGAACGCCAAGGCAUUCUUGUCAAGCCUCGUCACCAAGCGCAUAGCAACAGGUGCUACAGCUCCCGACUCAUGGUCGGAGCAAAGGGUGUAUGAGAUCUGUGGUGGCUGCCCUUUAACACUUGAGAACUGUGUGAUCGAUGUGUUUGAGCAGGGAAGCAGCAUGGAGGUAGUUCUCGAAGACAUGGUGGUGGCACAGCUGCCCAAGAUUCUCCUGGGACUGGAGCAUGGUCACGGCUGGGAAGAGGCUAAGUUCAGGGAGGUGAUGAAGCUCAUUGUGGCGCAUGGUGCAGUUGGGCUGUUGAAGAUUUGCCGCCGUAUCUUCAAGUUGGACAUCUCGGAGUGCCAGCGGCAGAUCAAAGCGAUGCUCUCCUUCAAUGUGAUACAUGUUCGUUACAUGCUGCCGGGACUGGUUUAUGAUGAUCUUCGAGACUUUGACAGGGGGCCUGCCAUGAACUGUGAUUUCAUCAUGGCAAGGUCGCCUACCCACCAUGUGGCUAUGAAAAUGUUUUGUGAUGGUGCGUUUGACGAACCAGAUGAAUAGAAACUUAGAAAUGUGAAUAUCAUAUUAGUCCCUCAUCAAAGCAACAAAGACAAACUUUUGCAAACGAUUUCAACUUUUGCUAAGCUUCGUUUUCCAUCCUGCAAGGAUCCCCGUGAAUGUGCAAACAGCACAUGCCUUUCUGUCACAGCCUUGAGUUCCUUCUUGAAAGAAUGCUUCGACUUGAAGAAGACGGAGGCGGGCAUUUUGAUCCGGACUUGUGUGACCAGCGCUUCCAGCACUCGUCUUCUGUCACCAAAGCUGAGCCUACCGAAACAAGUACCAGACCUGCUUUCUGAUCUUCUCGAGCUGCACUCGUCGCCAUCGCUGUUCUCCGCCAUCAAACCCCACGAUGUGCUAUCUGGACUGAUUGGCAAACGCUGCUUCUGCUCGGUGAUGUCCAGUAAGAGAACGUUGCAGUUGUUGCUAAAUCUCCCGGGAUAGCAGUAGUCGUCCCUGUCCCUUCCGUGGAGGAAAAACGAUAGAGAUCCGUCAGGAAGGCCGAAGAUCUCAAACACCGGAGCCAGAGCAACCCGCAAUCCAUUCCUCGAGGGGUGGUAUGAUUCGGCAGCCCCCCACCGAAAGAAAUCCCCAAGUGACAUAGACUAAGUUCCCCAGCUCCGGAUUCUGAUGCACCCAAAUACCCACCAGAUUCCUGACCCCGUUGAUGAAUCUGAACAGCGCCUUCUGCGACUGCAGCCCAUUCCUCCAAGUGCUCAAGUCGAUGUAUUCCUCCGCUUCUUCUUCUCUAACCAGCCUUUGGCACUGCGGGAACCAGACCUUAUCAGAGCUGCAGACGUCUCGAAGCUUGCAAGAAGUGGCGCUGAGGUUGCAGAGAUCUCUGUGACAGACGCGGCUGGAUAUCAACCCGAACACAUCGUCCGGAAGAUCAGUCAACAAGCCGUCGUGAUCUUUCAUCAAGGAAAAAAACAAGCUCCUCGAUCACGCAUCAGAGGUAACAUUAUCAGAGGUAACAGCAGCGACAGGAACAGCCAGCCACCAAGCCAACUCCAUUCGGAAAUAAACUGUUAGAGAAUCCUCGAAAAGCGCACAAAUAUCACAUGUUCCUCUACCAUACAAAGCAAUUGAACCCAGUGACUAUCGGCAGCUCCAAAGGGUCUCAUCCACCUACAAGAAAGUACUAAUUAGACACUGCCAGGCCACGUCCAUGUCUAUGUUCUUGCCCGGAAAAAGACUUACUAUCAGAAGCUCACGACAUAUAAGCCUUUUUAUUUCUGCAGAUCCGAAUCAGAAAAAAAAUUCCUGAGAAAAAAGAGAUCAGUUCGUCGUUUCUAUGAAUCACUGAACCAGCAGCAGCGCCACUUUGCGCUUUGGACACGACCUGAUCAAGCCAUCCAAACCCUGAUCCAGUAUUUUAAAAGCCGCACAAAAUCUAGAUCUGACAAAUGCUUACCUGAUAGAGGGAUGUGGAACAGUCGACCAUGACUUGGUUGUGGGCUGCUAUAACAUCCUCCUUCACUGUGUCGUGAAGUGCCUGGAGGUCCUCCUUGAUUGCAGCACGCAUAGCCGCAACGUUCAGUGCUCCAACCACAGCAACAAAGUCCUCCUUCAAGGCACCAUGGAUCUCCCUCACUGCUGCACGAAUGGAUCCCAUUCCUGCUCCAACCAUGGCAACAACGUCUUCCUUUAUGGCACCAUGGAUUGCUGGCACAUCCUCCCUCACUGCACCAUGGAUCGCUUGCACAUCCUCCCUCACUGCCGCAUGAAUGCCGGAGGCCAUCACCUGGAGAUUCUCAGUCACGGCUCCCAUUCUUGCACGCAUGGCAGAUGCCAGCACCAUGGGCCAUUGGCCACUUAAUUGGUGGGCCGCCGUUCGUACAGUGGUCUGACGGGAACUCGAGUUCCUUGUCAGUGGAUUCUCGCGAUUUCCAUCAGUACGCGGCCUCGAUGACAAGAGGAGGAGGAAGAGGAGAAGAAUGGCGCCCCAUCUCCUCGGCUUCCUUCUUCCUCAUGGUUUUCCAGGGAUGAGAGUGAUCCUCGGAAUAAUCUCGUGUUUGACAAUGUAGAUGGAUGUGUAAGGAAAAUGUUUCUAUUCUUCGUUAACUAAGACCUCGAGAAUUUUUUUACAAAGCUCACAUUUGCAGUGCCUCAGAGAAGCGUUCUCUCAGCCGCUCCACCUUGAGCACCGACGAAUGCUGUUUCCCAAAAUAUGUCCGGAAGUUGUCGAUCAGUAUCCUAAGAUCGUGUGACACCGCCAUCACGCUACGAUAAUAGUUGUUCUCCAGCCGCUCGCGAAUCACGUCCAUGGAGAUUGGUAGCGCAAUCCUGCAUUGAUUGAAAACCUUUAGCUUCUUUCUCAAUCGCAAGAGAUUUUUCCAACUUGCCUGUCAAGAAAAUCCGGCUUGCUCACGGCCUGCUGCAACCUCCACAAGUCAUACUCGUCCUGCGAAAAGCAAAAGUUCGUCAAGCCAAAAGCAAAAGCAAAACCUUCCUCGAGUCUAUGAUCGAUCGCACAAAAACAAACCUUGGAUUGGUUCGAGUGGAGCACCUCGUCCACGAUGUCGAGCAGCUCACGCACCUUGUCCUGCUCGAUCUGUGGCGACUCCCAAGUUAAAGGAUUCUCAACGUCGUGAAGCUCCCAGGGGCAGUGGUUCGUCGUCGAUGGCUCGUCCUUGUACAGCACACUGAUGCUGUCCCAGGGGCUGUUUGGAAACUCGGGCGACUUUGCCUUCACCUGAGUUAUCGUCCCUUCCCACCAGCGACCACCUUCUUCCUCGUCCGACCUCCACCACACUUGGCACUUGUCCCGACUGGACCACUUCCUGGCCAUGGAGGCCUCGUAGCGGCUUCUCUCCACUAUAAAGUCGGCGAAGUCUGUCAGCUCCGGCAAGUCGACGCUGAAGCUGCUGCCGCGAAUCCUGUACCCGUCCAUGAACUCGAGAGUCAGCCGGCAACAAGUGUUCCCCGACACUUCGAGAAUGAUGUACUCCAGUCCGGUGAUCUCGCAGAACUCGACCGCUUGCAGUGCCCUUUUCACGCUUCUCCAGGGACCAUCGUCGUCGAGCCGCUUGUUGUCUAAGUAGUCUUGAUGUCCCUGCGAUCGACAGUUUCAAUUCAAACAUAAUUCAAGACAAGCUCGUUGGAUCUCUUACCUGUCGGAAGUACACCACCUCAUCACCAUACUGUGGGAUGUAGCGCGUCCGCUCCACCUCUCUCAAGAGUAACCAGGACACGUUGCUCGGACUCCGAUGCACCGUGCUGAGGUUUCUCCUCACGUGGAAAUCCUUGUACCUCGACCCCACGUUCUUAUGCAGCUUCACUUUAAGUCUGCUCGAAGUUCUUCUUUCGGGCUUUCGGCGUCCAUUGUCGUCGCUGCUUCUAUCCCAGUCCGAGUCGUCGUAAGACGAGCUAGCUUCCCAGUGUGAGGGACGGCCGACGUUUCUCCUGCUUCUUGUGGACCUGCUGUUGGAGAGACUAACCACGCGACCCUGCGCCAGCCGUGUACUUCUCCUGCGGCCACCUGAAGCGUGCUCGUCGGCCUCAUAACACUCGGUCUGAGUCGCAACUUUGCGAGGCCUUCUCCUUGAGUAGACAGCCUUGUUCAUAUUGCGCUUCAUUUGUAUAUCGUCCACGUCCAGGUCCUCACUUGCCUGCUCUUCCUCGGGCUUGUAAGCAUCCUCCAGCGACUCACUGUUACUGCCUGGUGAAACCUCUUCGUGGUAAUCAGGGUCAUUGUCACCAUCUGGAGCUUCUCCAUUCUGUAAGGACUCAUUGCUCAGAAGAGUGUGAUUCUGCUCUCGUCUCUGCUGUUCGUCAAGGUAGUCAGCUGAAAGAGACCUCUCCGACUCGGACUCGCUAAUGAUCGCCCUUGCCACCACCUUUGUGUCUCCAUUUUCUACACGAGUCGCUUCAAGGCCUUUCUUGGUAUCACAAGGAACGUCUACCAGUUUAUCCUCUUCGGAGCUGCUGCUGCUGUGAUAAGGCAUGCGAGCACGCUUGGCUGCUUUCCCCUUCUUCCAUAUGUAUCCCUGUUUGUCGUCAGACGAAACAGCUUCAGUGGGAUUCUCGUCCGCGAUAAAACCAUCUGUUUCUGGAUGACUGUCAUUAGCCUCGGCCACGGGGACCUUAGAAGUGCCUUGUUCUGGUAUUUCGAGGCUCCGAAAAGUAUCCUCGUUGUUGGACGUUUGUGCACAGUUUCUCAACUUGAGUACUAACUUUCGCUGAGACCUUGGCCGCCUGCAUUCACCCACGUCCGAAGUCUCUGCGGGACUCUUCUUCGGAGGUUCAUCGUCUUCAGGUUCCUGAGUUUCUGUAAGAACUUUCCCGUUGCGUAGAAGCCUCUGGUUCUCGUUCUCUCCAGAUGUACCAGGUCUUUUGGCAUCCUCAGCGGCCAGGCGGCGUGCUUCGUCGUCUUCAUACUCAUGUAAGCUCGAAAACAUGGUCAACGCAUUCCGAGCUGCCAUCCUCAUAGGCCUCAAUGCAUGGUCCGGGUUUGACUUUCUUAUCCGCUUUCUAGACCUCAGCCUCUGCGUUUCCUCAGGCAUCAAAAGAGCAUUGUUUGACUCCUCCAAGCGCCUGCGCUUUUGCUUCCUCACCAAGGUUGCGAGUAUCUGUAGUGGACAAUCACCAUUGAAGUUAUCAGAGACGCAAAAGCUGGACGUACGUACCUCUCUCUUCUUUUUCCUUGUUCUUCGGUUACGAACCCCAUCAGAAUCAAUUUCGUCAAUUUCUUUGUCGGUUGUUUCCGAUUCACAGAUCGUACCACUUUCUUCAUUUCCAUCCUCGUCACUCGAGCUUUCUUCGCUCGCGCAGUAAUCAGAACCAGAAUCGUCACUCAAUCCAGUGACUUCUUCAUCCCAGUCCAUUGCCUCACCAUCCGCCGGUUGUUCUACCCAUCUGUUGCCUUGCUCGUUUGUUUGCUCGAUUGCUUGUAGAGCGGCAACUACUGCUUGAGGCUGAUCUUGAGGAAUGAACGCUGGAUCAUCAAACGUUCCCACUGCGAGCUGAACUGAUGGUGGUUGCCAGUAGCAACCUAGGAGUCCCAGACGACGUUGCUGGUACGAACUUUGAUAAGGUUCUGGAUAGGGAAUCAAGCCUGAAAAUGAAACAGAAAAAUAAGUUGGACGAGGUGAGAAGUCACCAGCUUACUUGCAUCGCACAAGAGAUCUUGAAGAUUCCUUUGAUGAGGAGGCAACUGAGUUUCCUGUAAAAGAAAGAUACUCAGUUUUUGCAAGAACAAUACCGGAAAAGAACAACACUCAGGACUAAAACUAAAUAAAAGCACUUACAUCAUUUUAUUUACCUGAUCGAGAACGUUUCCACGAGUAUCUCGAACAAGAGGCCGAUAAUCUCCAAGAAAAAGCUACACAGAACCCGAAAAACAAACAAACGCUGUUAGGAGAAGGAUAUGAAGCUAAUCUUCCUGAUACCUGGUCGUAUUUCGCAUCUUCGUCGUCUUGACUUGGGUAGAAAAAAGGUAGACCUGGCCGACCUCAUCGGAAACAACCAAUGAGGUUCCAUCCCUGAAAAUUGGCAAACAUGAGAACAGUAUAUGGACAUGAGAACAAGCUUACGGUGAAAAGUUGCCAUCGACAAGAUUAUAAUCUCCCGUCUCAAAUGUCCUUACUGGACGGCCCUCCCAGAUCUAAAACAAAAUUCGUGAUCAUUUUUUUUGAGAGAAUACACUUACAUCCCACACAAUAACUCGGCCAUUGUAGCCCGCACUCAUUGCAAUGCGAGGAUUGCAUGGAUGUACAUCUAGCACGUAAGUCUAAAUAAUAGAUGUUAAGAAAGAAUGGAAUCAAUAAAUUCCAUUUCAAUACCUGCUUGGUAUGGCCGGUUAAACAGUGCACCAGACUGCCAUCAACCGCAUUCCAGACACAUAUCCGGCAAUCUGCACAUCCAUGUUAUUCCAUAAAAUUAGUUCGUGAGGUAUCUUACCCAUAAUCGCGGCGAGUACAAAACGAUUGUCCAAACUCCAGACUAUCAUAUUAACACCUCGAGGAGUUGGAAGCAGUUUUUGUUGAGGUCCACCAGUUCGAACGGGAGGCUGUGGCAUCGGAGGGGGCGGUACUUUCAAAUGAUAAGCCUUUACCCAUCGACCUAGCUUCAGCUGGAGGAAAGAGGAGCAGUCAUGGCAUUAGUUACACAGAAAGAAAGGCCAUGCACACCUGUUUUCUAGGACGAGGAGACCAGAUAAUAGCAGUGCCGUCUCUUGAGCAAGUAACUAUGCUAUCUUGAGGAAACCUGAACAAAACCAACGUUAAAACCAGAUAGCAAUGAGCGGCACAGUAUACCAGGUUGUUUUGAACUUCGGUAUGUUGUCAGGGACGUUGUCAUCCUUCAAAAAGUCGACGGGAGAAACUUUGAUUGGCUCUGCACAACCACUGGAACAAAGGACGAUUGAUGUCAACGAGGACCAAGCCAAAGAGGCGAACCUGAACUGCACGUAGUUAACUACAUUCUCGUGUCCACUAAGAAUGUCAUGCUCAUGAUUUGGCCUUCCGGUGUACUCGUCCGCCCACUUUCUUGCGUUCCAAACCUGUUCUAACAAUUGUUAGAAAUAUAAAAAGUUCACUUUAAAUGCUUACCCUGGCAAGCUUGUCCGAACUCCCAGUGACAAAGUAUGAGCCAUCUGCAUUAAACGCACAGCACUGAAUCUGAUUCGUAGCCUGUGCUCGAUUCUCAGCUCCUGCAGCUGGAAACAAGCUUUUAGAAAACCGAAAAAACAUCGGCAGACUCUUUACAUUCGGGUUUGACAUCCGGCUUCGGCAUGUAGACACGUGAAUUUACAGAAGAAUCCCGAGCAUCCCAAAUACGGCAUGUUCCGUCUUCAGACGAACUUGAAACCACGAGAUUUUAAUACAACUAAAGUGGAAAGAGCAAAUUAUUAACACUUACGAUAGAAGAUGGUGCUCACAGCCCGGUCGGGGACUAAAUUUGAUGGCCGUUACGCCCGCCGUGUGGCCACGAAGUAUUGCAACCGGAACACCAUCUGGUAAUCCCCACUAUAGGCAGAAGCGAAAUGAGUCAAAACAAAAAACAAAAGCAGAAUACUUACAACACAGAUGGAGGAAUCGUUAGAAGCUGAUGCAACUCUAGUGUUCGAACUACUUACAGACAAAUCGGUUAUAUCCCCCUAAAAGCCAGGUUUUAGGCACAAUAUUCGAAACGGAUGCAGAAAAUAGUAUCUCGUGUCCUCUACAGCUACGAAGGCAAAGUCUAUUUUCUACGGACCAUAUCUUCACAAGCCGGUCGUCCGAGCCAGUGACAAGAUACCGUCCAGUACGAUCAAAAACGGCUGCACGUUUAUCGCUUCGUUAAUAGGUCUUGAAAACCAAAAAGAAAAGAAACACGUACCACAAUAUACCGCAUUACGAUGACCCCUUAGCACCUGGAUGAUUCUUAUUCUGUUCACCAGUACAGAAGGCUUGAUGAUAACAUGUUUCACAGUCUGUGAUGCUUUGCAAAUCCACCACCAAGUUCAUGGAACGCGGGAGCAUGAACUUGGUCAGCUUGCCAAUGCGGCCAUCGCAUUUGUUCUAUUCUCUUGGUAGAGAUACUAGUAGCAUUGCUUUGCUCCGCUGUAUGAAGUUUGCUCGGAUCAGCAACGGCAAGAUUCGAAAGGUACACGGCUUACAUUCCAAAAGCGAGAAUGCUCCUGACCCCAAAAGUGUAGGAACGUCCGCGGCGGUCAAUUGCUUGGGAACUUUCGCAUCAAGCAAGGACGCGGACGUGUCGUGAACAAGUAGUUGCUGCAAGAGCUUAACCAAGUGGUUGUUGUCAACGUUCUUAUAUCUGAAAAUCGAAAAAUAAAAAUAAAAAAUCCAUCCUUUUGUCAGCAAGACAAAUCCUAAGAAAGAAAGAACUUGGCGACACACAAUACCUCUCGGCAACUUGCGCGUAGCUGAGUGGGAACGACAAACCAUCGUCAUUCUCGUCGGCGGGUGGCGUUCCAUUCCUGAUGGUACCUCUGGGGCAAGAGCUUGUGCUGUAGGAGCUCGUUCCAGAGCUGGUCAGUGGCUCUCUCGUAAGGGCCUCUCCUCAGGAAGUGCAUGAUAACUUCCGCAACUCGAUCUCCUCGUCUUGUUCAUGCAGGUGAUGAUCAGCUCCAACAUCAGACCGUAAAGCCACCUACGUUAGUCAGUCUGCACGAGAGGUUAGCUAAGCUGCAUGAAGAUUGCACCCGAGUCUACUUGAAGACAGAAAACUUGAAAGCUUCGAUUCAAUGUUCCGUUACCAUACAAAGCAUUUGAACCCAGUGACUAUAUGCGAUAUCCGCAGCUCCAAAGGACCUCCUGAAUAAAUAGUCUCCUGAAUAAAUAGUUACACUCAUCCACCUACAAGGAAGUACCAAUUAGACAAUGCCAGGCCACGUUCAUGUCUAUGUUCUUGCCCGGAAAAAGACUUACUAUCAGAAGCUCACGACAUAUAAGCCUUUUUAUUUCGAAGAACGAAGAUCCGAAUCAGAAAAAAAUAUCCUGAGAAAAAAAAAGAACAGCUUUGUCGUUUCUAUGAAUCAACUACUGAUCAUUGAACCAGCAGCAGCGCCACUUACCCACCACUAUGCUCUUUGCACACGACUUGAUCAAGCCAUCCAAACCCUGAUCCAGUAUUUUAAAAGCCGCACAAAAUCUAGAUCUAACAAAUGCUUACCUGAUAGAGGGAUGUGGAAUAGUCGAUCAUGACUUGGUUGUGGGCUGCUAUAACAUCCUGGAGCAUGAAUGGGAUCCAUUUGUACAGCAGUGAGGGAGGAUUUGCAAGCGAUCCAUGGUGCAUUGUUGCCAUGGCUAGAGAAGUGAAUGUUGCAGCUAUGCAUGCUGCAAUCAAGGAGGACUUCCAAGCACUUCACGAUACAGUGAAGGAACCACGGCAACAACGUCUUAUUUUAUGGCACUAUGGAUUGUUGGCAAAUCCUCCCUCACUGCCGCACGAAUGCCAGAGGCCAUCACCUGGAGAUUCUCAGUCACAGCUCCCAUUCUUGCACACAUGGCAGAUGCCAGCACCAGCACACAAGCUGUGGUCACGAUGCACAGCACACUAAUCGCAAUGGUGCUAACAAGCACUAUGGCAAUCAAAAACUCCAUUGGCAAGGUUUGCAGCAAAGCCUUUGCAAAAUCGAAAAUGAAAUCAAAUUUACAGUAGUUAUGAAAGACACAAAUGACACUCUUACCAGAAGUUCGAGCCGCCCGCCCUAUCUUCGCAAGAACCCACAGUCGCUUUAUCUUACGUACAAUGGGCCACUGGCCACUUUCUUGGUGGGCCGCCAUUCGUACAGUGGUCUGGCGGGAACUCGAGUUCCUAGUGGAUUCUCGCGAUUUCUAUCAGUACACGGGCUCAAUGACAAGAGGAGGAGGAAGAGGAGAAGGAUGGCGCUCCAUCUCCUCGACUUCUUUCGUCCUCAUGGCUUUCCAGGUAUAAAAAGAUUGAGAGUGAUCCUCAGACUGAUCUCGUGUUUGACAAUGUAGAUGGAUGUGUAAGGAAAAUGUUUCUUUUCUUCGUUAACUAAGACCUCGAGAAAUUUUUUACAAAGCUCACAUUUGCAGUGCCUCAGAGAAGCGUUCUCUCAGCCACUCCACCUUGAGCACCGACGAAUGCUGUUUCCCAAAAUAUGUCCGGAAGUUGUCGAUCAGUAUCCUAAGAUCGUGUGACACCGCCAUCACGCUACGAUAAUAGUUGUUCUCCAGCCGCUCGCGAAUCACGUCCAUGGAGAUUGGUAGCGCAAUCCUGCAUUGAUUGAAAACCUUUAGCUUCUUUCUCAAUCGCAAGAGAUUUUUCCAACUUGCCUGUCAAGAAAAUCCGGCUUGCUCACGGCCUGCUGCAACCUCCACAAGUCAUACUCGUCCUGUGAAAAGCAAACGCUCGUCAAGCCAAGACCAAAACCGAAACAUUCCUCGAGUCUAUGAUCGAUCGCACAAAAACAAACCUUGGAUUGGUUCGAGUGGAGCACCUCGUCCACGAUGUCGAGCAGCUCACGCACCUUGUCCUGCUCGAUCUGUGGCGACUCCCAAGUUAAAGGAUUCUCAACGUCGUGAAGCUCCCAGGGGCAGUGGUUCGUCGUCGAUGGCUCGUCCUUGUACAGCACAUUGAUGCUGUCCCUGGGGCUGUUUGGAAACUCGGGCGACUUUCCCUUCACCUGAGUUAUCGUCCCUUCCCACCAGCGACCACCUUCUUCCUCGUCCGACCUCCACCACACUUGGCACUUGUCCCGACUGGACCACUUCCUGGCCAUGGAGGCCUCGUAGCGGCUUCUCUCCACUAUAAAGUCGGCGAAGUCUGUCAGCUCCGGCAAGUCGACGCUGAAGCUGCUGCCGCGAAUCCUGUACCCGUCCAUAAACUCAAGAGUCAGCCGGCAACAAGUGUUCCCCGACACUUCGAGAAUGAUGUACUCCAGUCCGGUGAUCUCGCAGAAGUCGACCACUUGCAGUUCCCUUUUCACGCUUCUCCAGGGACCAUCGUCGUCGAGCCGCUUGUUGUCUAAGUAGUCUUGAUGUCCCUGCGAUCGACAGUUUCAAUUCAAACAUAAUUCAAGACGAGCUCGUUGGAUCUCUUACCUGUCGGAAGUACACCACCUCAUCACCAUACUGUGGGAUGUAGCGCGUCCGCUCCACCUCUGUCAAGAGUAACCAGGACACGUUGCUCGGACUCCGAUGCACCGUGCUCAGGUUUCUCCUCACGUGGAAAUCCUUGUACCUCGACCCAACGUUCUUCUGCAGCUUCACUUUAAGUCUGCUCGAAGUUCUUCUUUCGGGCUUUCGGCGUCCAUCGUCGUCGCUGCUUCUAUCCCAGUCCGAGUCGUCGUAAGACGAGCUAGCUUCCCAGUGUGAGGGACGGCCGACGUUUCUCCUGCUUCUUGUGGACCUGCUGUUGGAGAGACUAACCACGCGACCCUGCGCCAGCCGUGUACUUCUCCUGCGGCCACCUGAAGCGUGCUCGUCGGCCUCAUAACACUCGGUCUUAGUCGCAACUUUGCGAGGCCUUCUCCUUGAGUAGACGGCCUUGUUCAUAUUGCGCUUCAUUUGUAUAUCGUCCACGUCCAGGUCCUCACUUGCCUGCUCUUCCUCGGGCUUGUAAGCAUCCUCCAGCGACUCACUGUUACUGCCGGGUGAAACCUCUUCGUGGUAAUCACUAUUCCGAGCUGCUGCUGUUGUGAUAAGGCAUGCGAGCACGCUUGACUGCUUUCCCCUUCUUCCAUAUGUAUCCCUGUUUGUCGUCAGACGAAACAGCUUCAGUGGGAUUCUCGUCCGCGAUAAAACCAUCUGUUUUUGGAUGACUGUCAUUAGCCUCGGACAUGGGGACUUUAGAAGUGCCUUGUUCUGGUAUUUCGAGGCUCUGAAAAGUAUCCUCGUUGUUGGACGUUUGUGCACAGUUUCUCAACUUGAGUACUAACUUUCGCUGAGACCUUGGCCGCCUGCAUUCACCCACGUCCGAAGUCUCUGCGGGACUCUUCUUCAGAGGUUCAUCGUCUUCACGUUCCUGAGUUUCUGUAAGAACUUUCCCGUUGCGUAGAAGCCUCUGGUUCUCGUUCUCUCCAGAUGUACCAGGUCUUUUGGCAUCCUCAGCGGCCAGGCGGCGUGCUCCGUCGUCUUCGUACUCAUGUAAGCUCGAAAACAUGGUCAAGGCAUUCC
rnacentral:lncRNA from 1 species